UCAGGUGGGUGAGAGGCCGAAGCCGCGAGACUCAUAAUCUCGUCCGGCAUGCAGGCGCGUUGGUUCGAAUCCAACCCUGUCCACCA
rnacentral:tRNA from 1 species